rnacentral:sRNA from 1 species
AAACUCCAGAUGUUGACUCUUUCCAUGGAAAUGAAUUAUUAUUAUUAUGACCUACGAGUUGACAAAUUCAGGCUCCGAAUGGUGAUCGAACCGGACAGUGCGAUACAAUUCAAAUAGUAACGAAAAUGUUUAUAUAUAUAUGUGUAUGUAUAUAUUUUUGUUACUAUUAGAACCGCAUCGUAUUUUAUCUGCAUCACAUUUUAUCCGCACGUCACCAUUCGGACCCUCAAUCUACGAUUUGUGGACGAAAAAUUCAAUUUUUUUUUAACUAAUGAUUUACAAUCAUAAUUGACUACUGUUAACGCUUUGAAAUAACAAAAAA